rnacentral:piRNA from 1 species
UUGCAGCAAGAGCCUAUGACAGAGUCUUUUA